AGUGAACGCUGGCGGCGUGCUUAACACAUGCAAGUCGAACGAGAACGGAUUAUAGCUUGCUAUAAUUGUCAGCUAAGUGGCGCACGGGUGAGUAAUGUAUAGGUAAUAUGCCUCUUACUAAGGGAUAACAAUUGGAAACGAUUGCUAAUACCUUAUACUCCUUAUUAACCUAAGUUAAUAAGGGAAAGAUUUAUUGGUAAGAGAUUAGCCUGUAUUGUAUCGGUUAGUUGGUGGGGUAAUGGCUUACCAAGACUAUGACACAUAACUGGUUUGAGAGGAUGAUCAGUCACACUGGAACUGAUACACGGUCCAGACUCCUACGGGAGGCAGCAGUGGGGAAUAUUGCACAAUGGACGAAAGUCUGAUGCAGCAACGCCGCGUGGAGGAUGACACAUUUCGGUGCGUAAACUCCUUUUAUAUGAGAAGAUAAUGACGGUAUUAUAUGAAUAAGCACCGGCUAACUCCGUGCCAGCCGCCGCCGUAA
rnacentral:rRNA from 1 species